rnacentral:lncRNA from 1 species
AUUCCCCUACAAAAAUUCCCAUAUCUCUUUUAAAUAUUUUAAUGAAAAUGACUAAUACAUUUUCCUCUUUCCUGUUGCCACAUCAGUCUGCUCAAGGACGCGCAGUAAGAUGUCAAUGUAAUCACCAGAGGGCCCCAUCUUUGAUUCAACAAAGCGACAGGAUGUCAGAGAGAAGAGGGCAACAAGGCAAUGACAAGGCUACCCAAACAUACUGGAGACCACCAAGCAACCCUCACUUUGUAGGACGCCUUGGACUACACAUCCUAAAACAUCGCCUCAGGCGCCACUUCCUGCCAUUUCUCAUUUUAAUCAGCUUACAAUCCCAUUUGGUCCAAAGGCAGGCUAAAGGAGAAAAAAAAAGUGGUCUCAGUGUGUGGAGUUUGUAGAAGUCAGUUUACCAAAGGCAGACAAGCAUUAGACACACUUUUCACAGCAAGAUGCACAUGCAGUGCACAGGAAAAAAAAUAAUCCUCUUUGUCAGCAGCGCAUCAGAGUAAAAAUAUAAACUUUUGGAAUCAAUAAAACUACACAAAGGUGUGUAGCA